rnacentral:rRNA from 1 species
UGGGGAAUAUUGCACAAUGGGGGAAACCCUGAUGCAGCGACGCCGCGUGAGCGAAGAAGGUUUUCGAAUCGUAAAGCUCUGUCCUAUGAGAAGAUAAUGACGGUAUCAUAGGAGGAAGCCCCGGCUAAAUACGUGCCAGCAGCCGCGGUAAUACGUAUGGGGCGAGCGUUAUCCGGAAUUAUUGGGCGUAAAGAGCUUGUAGGCGGUUCGUCGCGUCUGGUGUGAAAGCCCAUCGCUUAACGGUGGGUUUGCGCCGGGUACGGGCGGGCUAGAGUGCAGUAGGGGAGACUGGAAUUCCCGGUGUAACGGUGGAAUGUGUAGAUAUCGGGAAGAACACCAAUGGCGAAGGCAGGUCUCUGGGCUGUUACUGACGCUGAGAAGCGAAAGCGUGGGGAGCGAACAGG